UGAUGAAUGUGACUUCCGAAUGACUUAUUAAUUGCAGCUAAGUCAGUUACAGGAUUUUACUUACGUUCAAGACAGAGGCACCAUAAUAAAAACUAUGAAGAUAAUUAUUCUCUACUGAAAAGUAUGAUUUAAUAACUUGUGAAUUUUAAGGCCGUGUUGCUUGGAAGUUGUUUUAUGUAAAAAUAGCUAAGAGUAUUCAGAACCAUGAUGGAUCUUACUAAAAUGUUUAAUGAAUGGAAGCUGUGAAUAUGAUGAGGACAACAGCGCAACAGUGAAGAUUGUCGUGAACAGCCCAUUCUGGCUGUCACUCGCAGGCUUUCCACAGUAGCAUACCUAUUACUGGAUAUGUUUUCCCAAUAAAACUGUGAGAGCAUGAAUUCCCGACAAGCAGCCAGAGUAGAAGAAGCCGCAAAAGAAAUUGGAUGUUUAUGAUUGUACCCUUGCUCUGCAUAUUGGUUUCUGAAA